rnacentral:misc_RNA from 1 species
AUUAGUGCAUAUAUUAGGCAAGCGAUCGACGCUACACAAUCUUUAUCUAAAGCGCGCCUUAAAUAAUUUAUUUAAGACGAAUAUAAUUUAUUAUAAAAUAUAUUUUAAUUUAUCACAUAUUAUUUCCCCUUCAAUGUGUUGUACAAAGCAAAAUAAUACUGAGAAAACAAUAAUUAAGAAAAUUACAUAUAAGUUUUUCUUAUAAUGUAAGACUUAAUAGGUAAACAUCAAGUAUAGAAUCAUUUGCAUAUCUGGUGUGCCGUCGUCCUAAAUGAAAGCUUUCACAUAUUUUCAAGAACAGCAAAGCUGAAUUUGAUAAUUCACAAUGCAGCUAUUAUUCUUUGUCACAUUGUCACUACCACAAUUAUUUUAAGAGGAGAUUUAUGUGCUUUAUAAGAUACAAUUGCUUGCUUCCUCACACAUCUUAGGUUGCCGCAUCAGCAUUUUUGGGCAACGGUGUAUUCGCAAACUUAAAGGUCUGGCGGAAAUUGAAAGAUCUAUUUCCAGCUACCUCAUUGAUGGGGACAGCGUCAGAAAUCUCCUUCAACUCUUCUUUUGCUAGCUUGAUUUUCAAUGCUCCAAUAUUGUCAAUAAGAUUUUUAAUCUUGGUCGUACCAGGAAUGGGGACAACAUCAUCCCCUUGAUUGAGAACCCAUGCAAGAGCAAGCUGUGCAGAAGUACAUCCAUAAUUUUUUGACAAAUUUUCGAUUCGAAUAUAAAAUACCUUGUUCUUUUCAACAUUUUCUUCUGUGAACCUUGGAUGUUUUCUCUAAAUUAUACAAAAUGAAGUAGCUCAUCAGUUACCAAGCAUGUUCACGAGAAAAAGUAACACGAAACAAGUAUUAGCAUAUGUAUAAGAAGAAUAAAAAGAUUCAAUUUUCAGGAGUAAUAAAGAAUUAAUAGUCUAAAUAAGUGAUACAUGUUUCUUACCAAGUUGGUCUCUGAAGGUAAACUUUCCACAACCGCUUUGCCACCAAAAAAACCUCGACCAAGAGGGCUGUAUGGAACUACUGCAAUUCCAAGUUCCCUGCAAGAUAUUCACAAUCAAAUGCCCUCAUACAUAGUAGAAAAUGUCACUAGAUCUUCAAAAGUAAAAGAAAUUAAUGAAAAACAAAAUAAUGCAAUCAACAUAUUUCUUGGAAAACUCAAAUUGUUAUGCAUUCUGGAUAUCAUUCCAUUAUAAAUCAACUUGCAAUGCGAAAUAAUACAGUUAGAGAUACCUGCAAAGUGGUAUUAUUUCUUCUUCAAUGUCACGAGUCCAAAGUGACCAUUCCAUUUGCACUGCAGUGGUGGGGUGAACUGCAUGUGCCCUCUUUAUGGUGUCAGGACUUGGCUCGGAAAGUCCAAUGUACUUAAUUUUCCCUUCUUCCACUGACUUCUUAAGCUCUCCCAUUGUUUCCUCCAUUGGCACAGAAGGGUCGAUCCGAUGUUGAUGGUAAAGAUCAAUAUAGUCCACAUCAAGACUUUAGGCUAGCCUCACAGCAUGCACGAACAUAUUCAGGCUUGCCCUUAAAUGAGGCAGCCAUAAGAUCAUUGUUCUUGAAAAUAAUACCGAAUUUUGUAGCCAAUUGGAUCUUCUCUCUAGGCAAUUGCUUCAAUGCCUGCAAGCUCAAGCAUUUGUAUAGCACACAACCAAACAAAAGAAACACUUGAUAACAUAUGCAAGAAAUCACAUUUCAUCAGCUCUAAUUGCUUGCUUCGCCCGACCAAAAUAUAACUUUCUUCUCAUUUGCUUAUCCUGGUUUUUGACAAGAAUUUAUGACAGAAGAACUCUAACCUUGCCAAUCAAGACUUCAUUAGCGUUAAACCUGUAAACAUCAGCAGUAUCAAAAAGUGUAAUUCCUCUAUUGAAUGCUUCCUUGAUGAUUGAAAUGCCACCCUCUUCAGAGACGGGGGCAUUGUACAUACCACUAAGUCCCAUACAUCCAAAGCCUAACUUUGAGACCUCUAAUCCUUCGGAACCCAGUUUGACUCUUGGGAUUACAACUGUCUGUUCCUCAGCCAUCUUGGUCAAAUCUCCGUCGAUCUGCUUUCUUCUUUUCUUCUUGCUAUGGAAGUGGAAGAGAGGAGAUACGCAGAAGGCAAAAAAAUGCCGGAAGAAAGAGGGAAAGAAGUAAAGAAAGAAUCUUUGGCUCCCACUUGCUACUUCUUGCAUUUCACUGAUUCUUCCUCUUAUAUAGGGACCUUGAGAAUGGAGAGAUGCUUUGGUAGUCAACUUUGGACGUAGCGGGUGAGACAUGAUCACAUGUCAUCGAAUGCAAAAUAUUUCCAUUAUCCAGUAUGCAGAAUCCUAUCGGCUGAAAAUCUCCUGAAUUUUUGGAAUGUUCAAUUAGGUUAAAAUUAAUUUUUGGGUAAAUUUUGGUUAGAGUUAGGAAUGGCGAUGGGUAUCCCA